rnacentral:rRNA from 1 species
UACGUAGGGUCCAAGCGUUAAUCGGAAUUACUGGGCGUAAAGCGUGCGCAGGCGGUUGUGUAAGUCAGAUGUGAAAUCCCCGGGCUCAACCUGGGAAUUGCAUUUGAGACUGCACGGCUAGAGUGUGUCAGAGGGGGGUAGAAUUCCACGUGUAGCAGUGAAAUGCGUAGAGAUGUGGAGGAAUACCGAUGGCGAAGGCAGCCCCCUGGGCCGAUACUGACGCUCAGGCACGAAAGCGUGGGGAGCAAACAGG